UGUAGGAGCGGGCUUGCUCGCGAUGCUAUCAACUCGGUAUCUCUGACAAAACGAGUCGAUGCAAUCGCUAGCAAGCCCGCUCCCACG
rnacentral:misc_RNA from 1 species